rnacentral:rRNA from 1 species
AGCGAACGCUGGCGGCAGGCUUAACACAUGCAAGUCGAACGCAUCCUUCGGGGUGAGUGGCAGACGGGUGAGUAACACGUGGGAACGUACCCUUCGAUCUGGGAUAACUUCGGGAAACUGGAGCUAAUACCGGAUACGCCCUUUUGGGGAAAGGUUUACUGUCGAAGGAUCGGCCCGCGUCUGAUGAGCUAGUUGGUGGGGUAACGGCCUACCAAGGCGACGAUCAGUAGCUGGUCUGAGAGGAUGAUCAGCCACACUGGGACUGAGACACGGCCCAGACUCCUACGGGAGGCAGCAGUGGGGAAUAUUGGACAAUGGGCGCAAGCCUGAUCCAGCCAGGCCGCGUGAGUGAUGAAGGCCUUAGGGUUGUAAAGCUCUUUUGUCCGGGACGAUAAUGACGGUACCGGAAGAAUAAGCCCCGGCUAACUUCGUG